AAACAGGAAUGCUUUCAUUUUGCCACAGAACAGAGUUAAAGAGGAAAUAACCAGAUUCCAAUUCCCACUGGUUAAGUUGCACAUGGACCAUUUGGGCAUGGUGCUGUUAAACCACAUGGCAACUUAAUAUUCAGCUGUGGAAUAGACCAAAGCCAAGCCGUGGGGUGUUAGCAUCAGCACCCCAGGAUGCUUCAGCCAAUCUGUUCAGUAAACAGUUGUGGGCUUUCCAUUUUGCAGCUGUUUUUUCUGGGUGCUGUCAGAAGAGGGGAGCGAAAGCGCUGUUUAUUUGUUUAUUUAUAAU